CCCGACCCCCUCCUUCCUCAUUCUCCCGAUCCUCUCCUUCGGUCUCCCUCUUCUCCUCUCUUUGUUCCUCAUAAACCAUCGACAGUGAUGGAAAUCUCCAUCUGGGGUCAUCCACAUCGCAUCGCCGGUGGGCCAGGUCACCGGAGCUCGACGGGAAACGGCAGAGUCCAGUGCUUCUCCGGUGUAUCCUGUGCCCGAUCGAUGAAGGCGUGGAGGCUAGGGUUUGGAGGGGGGCUGGAGGUGCGUCGUUCCCAGCUGAUCUGUGCCCUUCUCUUCUUGAGUUUCCUUCUUCUCAGUCGUCUUCGGUAAGUGGCCGAAUCGCAUCUCCUUCCACCAUCGACAACCGAAGCUUGGAGAGAUGCCCUAGCUCGGAUUUGUGCCGCUCGAUCGCCGGCGUGAAGAGGCAAUUAGGGCUCCGAAGAUCACCCGAGAUGACCGAGAUAGGUCUUCUUCAUUAGGCAUUUGUAUUCCUCUCCCAGUGCCAGAUCUUGGCGGAUGCUGGCUGAUUGGGGGUUGCGGUUGAAGAAAUUGAGAUCAGUGAUCUCUUGCUUGAUCUCACCUUGAUUCGAACAGAGGAGUGGAUUUUCCAACAAGUUGUUUGCUGUGGAUUGUAAUCACGGGACUGGAGAAGAAGUGCAGGGAAGAAGUUCAUCAUGGUUAGGUUCUGUGAUUCCAGGUGAGCUUUGGUGAUCAGUGAAGUGAGGGUCUGUUGCUGUGAGGCUGGAAUUGUGAUCAUUGCGGUGAAAUUGAGGGCUGUGGAUCAAUAGGUGUGGCUAUGAGGUUUCUUGUUCUUGAUUCCAGCAAUUUCUUGGUCUCGGCAGCAACAUUCCUCUUGUCCCAAUAGCCACAGUAGCUGUGGAAUUGAGGACUCUGAUUAGAGACGGGCGUCUCGACUUCGGAUUUGGAUUGUACCUUCUAUUUGAGG